GUCCCGACUAACAAGUUCUGUUCCAGGAGAACAUUCAUAAGUCAGAUUCCUUCCUGAGUCUGACAAAGUGAAUCUUAAACGCCUUUAAUACAAAUAUACAGUGUAUAUUGCUUUGCACUUCCUAGCAGUCCCCUCCAUAUCACCACUGCUUUUCCUCUUGCUUCUGGACAUCCUGGCUCUGAUAGAGCACCGUACUACUGUACACUACUGCAUUGUGUAGUAAGCAAACAGCAGCACAACUGUUAAGUGUCCUGCAGACAUGUGAGUUACUUCCACGAUUUGUUAGCAUCUAAGAAAGUUUAUAAUUUGAGGUCCCUUCAUAUCCAUGAAUGUUCGCAACUGGAAUAUUCGUUAAGUCAGGGACUUGGUAUUUCAGACACUGCUGGACUUUAUCUAUAUGAACUCAGAUCUAUUAAUUCUCGCCCCAGGAAGAUGUGAUCAUUUCUAUUUUACAGAUGAAGAAACUGAGUAAAGGAGAGAAAUAACUCGCCUAGGUCAGUGAGUGGUAGAACCCAACCCUGAACAGAGGUGGUCCAAGUCCCAAACGCCUGUAUAUCUGCUAGGCUGUAUUAGACUGCCACUUGGUUAGGGCUGUGUCUCCAACACCCUGGUGUCUGCCAGGUGCUCAGCAUGGGGUUUAUGAAUGAAAAAUGAAUGAAUGAAUUUGUGGUUAUACUGCCACUGAUGUCACAAGUUGCUGGACACUUUCUCAGGGUCCACUCCCACUGCUGGGGCAAAGUCCCUUUGGAAACAGAAAUUCUGACCAGAAAAUCAGUAAUUUUCACCUGCCUCGUGAGUGAAGGAUCCACUAAAAUCAUUCACCACCACCUGGCUAGAAAAGAAGCACCAAAGCACUUCUUCUGGACGAUGUUACAGCAGAGCCCAGAGAAAGGAGCUGCACUUCGGGCUGAGAUGCUCCAGCCUCGUGGGGAGGACACACUGACAGAAGUGCCGAUAAUUCCGUGAUAAACGCUGGGCCAAAGGUAUAGACAAAGGGAGAUGACUCAUUCUGCCUUGGAGGUCAGGGGAGGAAAUGGGACAUCUGAUUGGGUCUUGGGAGGAAGACAAGGGCAUCCCAGGUGGAAGGGACAAGCCAGGCAAACGAACAGGGGCAAGCAUGCACAGGGCUGCCCUAGGAGGAGGGUGGGGCAGAACGGCACAGGAUGCCAGGAUAGGCCCUGGGCAGUGUGGAAGGACCAUGGACUGGGUCUCUAGAAGGCAGUGGGAGUCCCUGGAGCCUAUCUGCUGUGGUUCAGAAAGAUUACUCCAACAGCCCCCUGAGCGGGGUUGCAGGGCGACUGGUGCAGAGGCUCUGGCUACAGCCCAGCUUCUCCUGUUACCGUUCUCUCUGAGCCAAGUCCUUCCCUCUUGGCCACAACUCACAGGCUACAUCUCUUCCAGUCUCCAAAGACUUGCUCAUUGUGUUCCUGCUGCCAGGAGUGUCCUUCUCAUUCUUACCUGUGCCUGGGGCACUUGCUCAGGGGGCCCCUCUUCCAUGAAGCCUCCUACCUGCACAGAGCCCCUACCCCAGGCUCUGGUCAAGGCCUUGGCCACCAAUCCCUGGGAUGUGAUUUUUUUUUUUUUUUUUGAACAGGGUCUCCCUGUAUAGUCCAGGCUGGCCUUGAGCUCACUGUGUAGCCUAGGCUGGCUUUGAAUUCCGGGUGACACUCCUGCUUCAGCUUCCCAAGUGCUGGGGUUAUAGGCACGCACCACCAUGCCUGGUGUGUGAUCUUUGAAAUAACAGAUGCAGGGAUGUGUCAUGCUUGGACCCUGACAUAAGAGUUUGAAAACAGUGGGUCCUUAGACAGUCCUUGUCUCCUGAGGCUCAGUAUCCAGGUUCCUGUCCCACAAAGACCUUGAUCUGAAAUACCUCUUGCUCCAUGUGCAUGUCCUCCUUCUUGGGGAACCACAAAAACACACAUU
ensembl:lncRNA